rnacentral:misc_RNA from 1 species
AACGCACCUUGCGCUCCUUGGUAUUCCGAGGAGCAUGCCUGUUUGAGUGUCAUUAAAUUCUCAACCUUUCAGGUUUUUGUUAACCUGCAAGGCUUGGAUGUGGGAGUUGCGGGCUUCUUCAGAAGUCGGCUCUCCUUAAAUGCAUUAGCAAGACCUUUGUUGACCAUCCCUGGUGUGAUAAUUAUCUACGCCAUAGAGAAUCAGCUUCAUUUAUGGGCUUUGCUUAUAACCGUCCUCACGGACAACUCCUGACAUUUUGACCUCAAAUCAGGUAGGACUACCCGCUGAACUUAA